UACGGAGGGUGCGAGCGUUAAUCGGAAUUACUGGGCGUAAAGCGUGCGCAGGCGGCGCGUUAAGACAGGUGUGAAAGCCGCGAGCUUAACUUGGGAAUUGCGCUUGUGACUGGCGUGCUGGAGUGUGGCAGAGGGAGGUGGAAUUCCACGUGUAGCAGUGAAAUGCGUAGAGAUGUGGAGGAACACCGAUGGCGAAGGCGAGUCCCUGGACAAAACCUGACACUGAGGCACGAAAGCUAGGGGAGCAAACAGG
rnacentral:rRNA from 1 species